rnacentral:rRNA from 1 species
AUUAGAUACCCUAUUAUUUAAAAUGUAAAUUUAUAAUACUAAAUUAGUAAAAGUUAUGUUCUUAAAAAUUAAAAAAUUUGGCGGUAUUUUAGUCUUUCCAGAGGAAUCUGUCCUGUAAUUGAUAGUCCACGAUUAGAUGAAUUUUAUUUAUUAGUUUACAUAUCGUUGUAGUUUGAAUAUUUUAUUAGAAAAUAAAUAUUCAAUAUUUUUUAUUAAAAAAAAAAUCAGAUCAAGGUGUAGUUUAUAAUAAAAUAGAGAUGGAUUACAAUAAAUUUAUUUAAGGAUAAUUUUUAUUAUAAAAAUUUGAAUAUGGAUUUGGAAGUAAUUUUUUAAAUUUAUUUAAAAUGAUUAUAGCUCUAAAAUAUGUAC